GUGUUGUAUGAAAGGAGAGAAAGUUAGCACUCCCCUUGACAAGGAUGGAAGAGGCCCUCGGGCCUGACAACAUGCAUACAGGUUAAGGCAUUGCCACCUACUUCAUGGCGUCUAACCACUGUUUUUG
ensembl:snRNA